GCUCCAAUAGCGUAUAUUUAAGUUGUUGCAGUUAAAAAGCUCGUAGUUGGAUUGGUUAAGAGGCGCGGUCGGCCGUUUGGUCUGUACUGCGUUGUCUUGACUUCCUGAUGAGGACAUGCUCUUGGUUAACGCUGAGACAUGGAGUCAUCGUGGUUACUUUGAAAAAAUUAGAGUGUUCAAAGCGGGCUUACGCUUGAAUA
rnacentral:rRNA from 1 species